AACGAACGCUGGCGGCAUGCCUAACACAUGCAAGUCGAACGAGACCUUCGGGGCUAGUGGCGCACGGGUGCGUAACGCGUGGGAACCUGCCCUUAGGUUCGGAAUAACUCCCCGAAAGGGGUGCUAAUACCGGAUAAUGUCUUCGGACCAAAGAUUUAUCGCCUUUGGAUGGGCCCGCGUUGGAUUAGCUAGUUGGUAGGGUAAAAGCCUACCAAGGCGACGAUCCAUAGCUGGUCUGAGAGGAUGAUCAGCCACACUGGGACUGAGACACGGCCCAGACUCCUACGGGAGGCAGCAGUGGGGAAUAUUGGACAAUGGGCGAAAGACUGAUCCAGCAAUGCCGCGUGAGUGAUGAAGGCCUUAGGGUUGUAAAGCUCUUUUAACCGGGAUGAUAAUGACAGUACCGGGAGAAUAAGCUCCGGCUAACUCCGUG
rnacentral:rRNA from 1 species